rnacentral:tRNA from 1 species
GGUCCGGUAGCUCAGUUGGAUAGAGCAACAGCCUUCUAAGCUGUGGGUCGUGGGUUCGAACCCCGCUCGGAUCA